GGCCCUACGCUUUUGUAGAAAUUGAGCCUAAGACGUAACGUUGCAAGUCGUCAAGCACUAACUAAUUAAGCCCAAGCUUGCUUUGAGUUAGGUAAUCUUGCUUACCAAAGAGACAUCUUUCCAUGUAUUGGAAUCUCUUUACCACAGGGUCCCACAGAGCCCUUGAUGGUCUACCCUCUACCAAAGGCAUACCAAGUUGCUUAAGAAUGCACUUUCUCUGUAAACUUUGUGUAGCAGGCAGAGCAGGGAGACUAAAUACAUCGAAGUAGUUUUGCCCGUAAUUUUCCAACCAUCCAAUAAUGAUGGUAACUGGCUACGAGUGUCGGCUAAAUACAUCAUAAGCACUGGACUGUUGCUUAUGAUGUAGCUCAUACGCAUGCAUUGUGUUUGUGGGUGCAUGUUUGCAUUGCAUUCAAGAACCGGUUUUGUGCUCUAUAAAUUUUUCUUUUUUAUACCGUAAAAGCGUCCACAUGUGUUGAAGUAUCUAUAUGCAAUACUUCAACAAGAAUAAAUUCCAAGCCAGCAAAGCAGACAGGUAUAAAUACAUCAAGUGAAAGACAUAAAUACGUGCUUUUGGCCACAAUCUCCUGGGAAUCGGCCGUGAAUGUGGCAUUUGGAGAGCCACCAGCCAUAAUGCCCUGGACUCAGGUAUGCCCGAGAUUAGCGCACUUACUUUUUUUGAGGGUGUAAGUGUAAAAUAGAUGCAUCGAUGCAUAACCAACUAUGUAUGCAGAAAGAGAGAAUUUCCAGUCAAAGAAACACCAUGUAGCACUAAAUACAUCAACAUGUCACAAUAUAGAUAUAUUAUGUUGGAAAGGCCCAAAAUAUUUCACGUAUGUUAUGUACAGAAACCAAGCGAGAGCCUGGAGCCGAUGAAACUCCACUUUUGCGAUC
rnacentral:lncRNA from 1 species